rnacentral:rRNA from 1 species
ACGUAGGGUGCGAGCGUUAAUCGGAAUUACUGGGCGUAAAGCGUGCGCAGGCGGUUCGUUAAGUCUGAUGUGAAAGCCCCGGGCUCAACCUGGGAAUGGCAUUGGAAACUGGCGAGCUGGAGUGCGGCAGAGGGGGGUGGAAUUCCGCGUGUAGCAGUGAAAUGCGUAGAGAUGCGGAGGAACACCGAUGGCGAAGGCAGCCCCCUGGGCCGACACUGACGCUCAGGCACGAAAGCGUGGGGAGCAAACAGGAUUAGAUACCCUGGUAGUCCACGCCCUAAACGAUGUCGACUGGGUGUUGGGAGAGAGAUCUCUUGGUACCGUAGCUAACGCGUGAAGUCGACCGCCUGGGGAGUACGGCCGCAAGGUUA